rnacentral:rRNA from 1 species
GACGAACGCUGGCGGCGUGCUUAACACAUGCAAGUCGAACGGAAAGGCCCUGCUUUUGUGGGGUGCUCGAGUGGCGAACGGGUGAGUAACACGUGAGUAACCUGCCCUUGACUUUGGGAUAACUUCAGGAAACUGGGGCUAAUACCGUAUAGGAGCUCCUGCUGCAUUGUGGGCGGUGGAAAGUUUCGGCGGUUGGGGAUGGACUCGCGGCUUAUCAGCUUGUUGGUGGGGUAGUGGCUUACCAAGGCUGUGACGGGUAGCCGGCCUGAGAGGGUGACCGGCCACAUUGGGACUGAGAUACGGCCCAGACUCCUACGGGAGGCAGCAGUGGGGAAUAUUGCACAAUGGGCGGAAGCCUGAUGCAGCAACGCCGCGUGCGGGAUGACGGCCUUCGGGUUGUAAACCGCUUUCGCCUGUGACGAAGCGUGAGUGACGGUAAUGGGUAAAGAAGCACCGGCUAACUACGUG